rnacentral:rRNA from 1 species
GUAAAGCGCGCGCAGGCGGCCUAUUAAGUUGGAUGUGAAAGCCUAUGGCUCAACCAUAGAACUGCAUCCAAAACUAUUAGGCUAGAGUCUGGGAGGGGAAGAUGGAAUUAGUUGUGUAGGGGUAAAAUCCGUAGAGAUAACUAGGAAUACCAAAAGCGAAGGCGAUCUUCUGGAACAGUACUGACGCUGAGGCGCGAAAGCGUGGGGAGCAAACAGGAUUAGAUACCCUGGUAGUCCACGCCCUAAACGAUGAAUGUUAGUCGUCGGGUAGCUAGUCUAUUCGGUGAUGCAGCUAACGCAUUAAACAUUCCGCCUGGGGAGUACGGUCGCAAGAUUAAAACUCAAAGGAAUAGACGGGGACCCGCACAAGUGGUGGAGCAUGUGGUUUAAUUCGAAGAUACGCGAAGAACCUUACCUAGCCUUGACAUAUAUUAGAACUCACCAGAGAUGGAGAGGUGCCUUCGGGAGCUUUUAUACAGGUGCUGCACGGCUGUCGUCAGCUCGUGUCGUGAGAUGUUGGGUUAAGUCCCGCAACGAGCGCAACCCUCGUCACUAGUUACUAACGGUUCGGCCGAGGACUCUAGUGAGACUGCCUUCGCAAGGAGGAGGAAGGUGAGGACGACGUCAAGUCAUCAUGGCCCUUACGGCUAGGGCAACACACGUGCUACAAUGGCCAGGACAAUGAGACGCGAUACCGCGAGGUGGAGCAAAUCUAUAAACCUGGUCUCAGUUCGGAUUGUAGUCUGCAACUCGACUACAUGAAGCUGGAAUCACUAGUAAUCGUAGAUCAGCUAUGCUACGGUG